rnacentral:rRNA from 1 species
UACGGGGGGGGCAAGCGUUGUUCGGAGUUACUGGGCGUAAAGGGCGUGUAGGCGGUUAGUUAAGUCUGGCGUGAAAGCUCUCGGCUAAACCGGGAGAGGUCGUUGGAUACUGGCUGACUAGAGGACGGUAGAGGCGUGUGGAAUUCCGGGUGUAGUGGUGAAAUGCGUAGAGAUCCGGAGGAACACCAGUGGCGAAGGCGACACGCUGGGCCGUACCUGACGCUAAAGCGCGACAGCAUGGGGAGCAAACGAG